rnacentral:lncRNA from 1 species
CUACUUCAUUUUCUAGUCUCCUCUCUCUCUCUCUUUUUAUCUUCUACUACCUCGGCCAAAUCCAUUUUUUUUCUUUUUGUCCUCGUUUCCUGUAAAAGAAAAGCCUUUCUUCUUCUACUUCAACACCACCUUAAAAUUCUAAGAAAAAAAUAAAUCCAAUUUUCAAAGUGACGACUGUUUCAAACUUGACUUUCCCUAUCACUUUUGUUAAGAAAGUUCCUAAAAAAGUUACGAAAUCUCAUAUGCGUAUCUUCUGUUUCUUUCUUUCACAUAUAGCCUUAUAGGUUUCGUUUUUAGCAGAACGGUGUCUGAACCUGCCACUUGUUAAUGGGAAACUGUUGAAUGGGAUGGAAGCAACCUGGUUACGAUGAUUUGGCCUAAAACAAAAGAGAUUCGUGGAACUCCUGAUCUUCACAACCUCACGGAUUUGACUAUGUUGGAGUCUUUGAGUAUCAGAUUUCUGGUUCGAUUCUUGAUCUCACCGGUCUCACUCGUUUGUAGACGCUGAAUCUAGACAACAAUCUCUUCACUCUGAUCCCAAGAAUCUACUUUCUGGCAUAAGCUCGCGUCAAAAAGCGUAACGAUCCAUGAAACUCUCAAGGAAGCGCGUCUCUCAAGAACCUCCCCUCACCAAUUGAACGUAACCGAGACGAUCCUUGAUGUCUUCAGGUCUCUUCUCGUCCCUCUCUGAAAUAUCUGUCAUGUAUAACACAGCCUCGUGUACAUAAAAGUGUUCUCCUAAUGGCUCAGUUUCAUCGGGUUUGCUAUAAUCUGAAGACAUGACCAGACAAACUUUUGUCUCUGGUGGAACGAACUCUCAUGCCGGAACAAUAGCUUCUCCGGAUGACUCAAUGACUACGGGUGACCCGUUACGUGCUGUAAGUAUACACUAUGCCAUCCAGAUAUUAACAGAAAACCAUGUCAGAAAACACAACGCUUAUGUUUUUUAAGAGUCAAACCUUGUUCAUCGUGCAGUUCUGGUUAUUCGUCAGGCAUCUUGGUACACAUCAUGAUCGUUGUCAUCACCAUGUCUGGUAAUUAUGUUCUUGAUCUUCUUAGCUUUUUAUUCAUUUUCUUGUAUAUUCUAGUGGUAACAUUCUCUUGAUGAGCUUAUUCCUAUGAUCCCACAAUAUAUAAGGCAAACCCAUUAUUAAGAUUGUCUUGUUUGAUUUCAAUUAUGGCUGCGCAAAUCCAUAUAAAUUCUUCUUCUCGUUGAAGUUGUUCUGCUCAUCGCUUGAAGGUUAGAAGAUUUAUACUGAAAUUUUGUACAAUGAACCCUUGAUAGCUUAUUUAUAGGAUCCAAAUCCUGAAGAAUCCGAAGAGAUCGAAGGUUCUGGUGAAUUGAAGAGUAGUGGGGAGAGAAUUUAAUGAGAUUAAAUGUUGUGUUUAUGGAUUGAACAUAAAUAGUGAUUCAGUUACUUGAUCUCGCGAUGAAGAAGAUAUUAGAGUUUCAGGAUGCGGCUUGAAGAAGGGAAGUGGUUGCAAUGGGCCAAAAGUAGAAAAAGCCCAACACAAAUAACCAUAAGUGAAGCAUAAAGAACCAAGCCUAGUCGAUAACACAACACAAAUCCGUAAAUUUUAAACGCGUGAGAGGGAGCUGACGUGCCACUCUCUCUUUCCUCUGCGGUGUCUGACGUGUCCGAAUGCAGACUUCCUAUUGGUCGAUUUUUUUUGUCGACGUGGAUAGCCUCCCUACUCCUUAUAUAUCCCUUUUAGUAUUAGUCAGAUGUACGUUAUCCCCCACAUUGUAUACUUUCUCUCAAACAAAAAUCACCAAUCUAUUUCAUGCGGAUUAUCAUCACACCUUUUGCUGGAUUUGUCAGUUUCCAUACAUCAACUAAUACGAACUCUUUU